rnacentral:miRNA from 1 species
CUUGGCACUGUCAGAAUUAUCGCUGA